GCAUCACCAUUCUUAGCAGUGCUCAGGAGGAUAACAGCAAACAAGACAGACAAACACUGCUGGGAAGCCAAUCGAACAUGCCGUCCCACACAGGGCAGCCCCCAUCCCCACCACACAUCAGGGAUAAUGGACAGAACCCGUCCGCCAGGGGUCCGUGGGACAGCUGACAACCUCAGAAGACACCCCCCCGCCGCGCGCGCGCCCCCUUCCAGUUUUUGGAAUACAGCACAGCCCACACUGAGGUCCCGGCAUGAUCCACCGGAGAGCUGCAUGUGCCUGUGAACACCUGUGUCCUCCUGCAGGUGUGGUACCUCACAUCUGGACAAGAGAGUGUCAACCACCGACCAUUUGUGAUGCUGUCACUGAGCCGGGAUGCAGGGGAGGAAGAGAAAGCUGGAGGGGUCCAUCAGAUCCCCAGGCUGUGGUCCCCCCAGUGAGACCCGGCCCCUCCUGACUCGGCCCAGCAGUGACAUGAAGAACCUCACGUGUGCCUUGUGACUCCUCCCCCUGGGCUCCCCGUCUCUUUACAUCGGUGCUUCUCUUGGUUGACGUUGGACUUCUGCAGUCCAGAGCUGGGAGAAAGGUUUGACCAGGUGCAGUGAAUAUUUGUCCCCUGGGACCUGAACCUGCACACAGGAGCCUGGCAGUGCCCACGUUCUGAAGCAGGUGUGGUGUCCUGCGUCACUGGACUCCAUCUGGGCAGACGUGAGGAGGGGGUGGCAGGUUAUCAGGGGCCGAGUGAACAAGAGAGUCGCAGGACCAAGUUAGCAAAGCAGCCUUCAGGCUCUGAUGCUGAUCAGAUGAUCAGAAGGUUCAGGAUCAGUGAGAACCUUGGGUGGGUUGAAGGGAUUAUGAAGCAUCCACAGCAGUGUCUACAGAGAAGGGGUUUGCCCUGUCCCCAGGCAGGGAGAGGAGCUGCUACCCCUUGAACGGCAGAUGCUCUCAUGGGUCCACAGGGUGGUGUUGUGUCAGGAAGAAACUGACAACUCUCCCCGCUCCCCUGCCCUGGCCGCCUUGCUUAGGAGUCUCUGGGUUGAUAGGAAAGGCAAACCUGAAUUCUUUGCCUCUCGGCAUCCAGGGAACAGGUCGGUGCCACGUCUCCAUCAUCUGUGCCAUCUGUAGCCACAAAGCCAGCACACAGCCUCGCAGUGACGCCAAGCAGCCUGGCCAGUUGCCCUGGUGCAAAUCACACAGGUGAUUAACCAGUCUCUGUUCCCACUUCUAGAAAGUCCAGAUAAUAUGGCAUGGGAUUACCAGAGGGUUAAAGAAGAUAACAACACAGGGCACCUGACACAGGAAGUGUUCCUGGUCCCUCCACAUGCCACCCAAGUGGAGUCCUGUUGACCCCAGAACACAACAAAGGCCGAAGGACUUUCAGUAGAUCAAACAAGUCGGCCGCAGUGAAGCUUCGGUUUCUAAACCUCUUAACAGGAAGCCCAAGCUGAGAGGACGUUUGAAUUGGCUCAUGCAAAAAACAAUAUUUGCUCGAGGCUAGCUCCUGCAUUAUGAAUUUUUAACCUCCCAUAAAUCAAACUGUAAAAAUGGACAAAGGCGAAUUUCCUGUGCCAGGACCAAAAUAGAAGCUGCCUCUGUCUCUUAAACAAUUCUGAUUAUGUUUCCAUAACCAAAUCAUACUGAGAUGAAUAGCUGGAAUAUUUAUAUUUAGGUCCUAAAGUAUUUCGUAAAAUAAAUGGAAAUGGUCUAUCUUUUCA
rnacentral:lncRNA from 1 species